rnacentral:rRNA from 1 species
GAUGAACGCUGGCGGCGUGCUUAACACAUGCAAGUCGAACGGGAUGCUUACAGUGGAGACUUCGGUCAAAGCAGUAAGAUAUCUAGUGGCGGACGGGUGAGUAACGCGUGGGUAACCUGCCCAUGAGAGGAGGAUAACAGGGAGAAAUCUUUGCUAAUACUCUAUAUGCUUACGGUAUCGCAUGAUACAGUGAGGAAAGAAUUUCGCUCAUGGAUGGACCCGCGUUUGAUUAGCCAGUUGGUGGGGUAACGGCCUACCAAAGCUACGAUCAAUAGCCGGCCUGAGAGGGUGAUCGGCCACAUUGGGACUGAGACACGGCCCAAACUCC